rnacentral:miRNA from 3 species
GCUAUUUCACAACACCAGGGU